AAAUAGCUUAUAAAUUUAACUUACCGAAAAAAAUUCAAAGAUCGAUUGGAAAUGCCAGAUCGGUUAGCACAAUGUCCUGCAGAACAACCCAUUAUGUCCGUGUGAAAUUAUAUCAAUUUUAGAGAUUAAAUGUAAAGUUCCAAUCUCCUCAGUCCUCCGAAGAUUCAGUGGCUCCUCGGCUCAGAUAGCUGUCAAUCACAGCUGUGAAUCACGACGUCACACCACCGUUUUUAGAGCAUUAAAUAACUAACUAAAAACCAACUUAUUUUAAAAACAAACUCUUGAAUUUACAUUAGCGUGAUACAAACUACAGUAAAUGACAGAAACCAGCUUCGGAAAAAAUAUAUUUGAAGGGUAAUUUAAUUGUUUAGUUGGUCUCGCGUCCCAUUGAAUAACAUGGGGAGGGCGGGGUUUAUGACCUAUACUGGGACCACUCACCAGGGGGCGAUCGAGACGUUUUGGCUUCACUUUUCAGGGCUUGUGCGGCACGCUUGGUCAGAACAGUGAGAGAAGCAGAAGCCCGUCAUGAUGGCGGAAAGAAAGAGAAGCGCAGUGUGGAGUUUUUAUACUCCAGCUGAUACAGACUCUGCCACAUGUGAUGUGUGCAAAAAGAUUAUUCGCCACUGUGGUAACACCACCAAUUUGCACAAACAUAUUAAAGUUCACCCGGGAGAGAACUCCGAGCUUCAAACAAAGUUGAGGAAGGAGGAGGAGGGGGGAGAACCCCAAACCAGACCCCCAACACAGAGGUCUCUGGCAGAGGCUUUUCAGCCAAACAAUCUGCAGUAUCCAGAUAAUUCACAAAGAGCCGUGGAGAUCACAGAGAGCAUUGCUGAGAUGAUCGUGAAGGAUCUACAACCCUUCUCUGUGGUUGAACAUGAGGGUUUUAAAUAUAUAAAUAAUAAAAACGCUUGACUCCCGCUACAGGACUCCAAGUCGGAAGUUUUUCAUGGGAGAGAAAAUACCUUCAUUGUAUGAAGAGUGUCGCUCAAAAGUAAAAACAUGUCUAGAUGCUGCUAACAGUGCUGUAUUGACCACUGAUAUGUGGACAUCAAGAGCCACAGAGGCUUAUUUAACUGUCACUUGCCAUAUUAUUGAUGAAGACUGGCAAAUGCAAACAUAUGCGCUAGAAACCAGUAGUUUCUCAGGAAAGCACAGUGCUGACAACAUUUCCUCAGAAUUGAAAAUAAUCACCAAUUGUUUAUAUUGUUAUAUUCAUAUUUAUACAUUGUGGCUUUUGUUUACUUAUUUUGCACAACUGACUUUGUUUUUCACAGAUAUCUGUGUAAUGGAAGGUAUUUUUGGUUGAGUUGUUGACUUUGUUUAUAUUUUGUUAUAUUAUUUU
rnacentral:lncRNA from 1 species